rnacentral:snRNA from 1 species
AUCGCUUCUCGGUCUUUUGGCUAAGAGCAAGUGUAGUAUCUGUUCUUAUCAGGUUAAUAUCUGAUAUGUCCUCUAUCCGAGGACAGUAGUAAAUGGACUUUUGGAGCUAGGAGUUGCAUAGGCCUUACUCUGUCCACUCUAUGCNNN